CUCGCGAGAGUAAGCUAAUCUCUUAAAGCCGUUCUCAGUUCGGACUGUAGGCUGCAACUCGCCUACACGAAGCUGGAAUCGCUAGUAAUCGCGGAUCAGCACGCCGCGGUGAAUACGUUCCCGGGCCUUGUACACACCGCCCGUCACACCAUGAGAGUCUGUAACACCCAAAGCCGGUGGGAUAACCUUUAUAGGAGUCAGCCGUCUAAGGUAGGACAGAUGAUUAGGGUGAAGUCGUAACAAGGUAUC
rnacentral:rRNA from 1 species